rnacentral:pre_miRNA from 14 species
UUUCUGGUUUCCUGUCCACAAACCCCUCCUGAAAGACCUCCGGAGCAGGGAGACCCUCGCUCAAGUCUCGGGAUGACACAACCCCCCAAGAACUCACAAGAGACC